rfam:Sorghum bicolor cultivar BTx623 chromosome 1, whole genome shotgun sequence.
GUAGUCGGAUUCAUAUCAAUCCACGUGUGUUGAGGUAGAUUAGAGUAGAAUUUAAAUUAACAUUCACCCUAAUCCACACCAACACAUUGAUUGAAGUGGAUCCAACA